rnacentral:rRNA from 1 species
UACAGAGGUCUCAAGCGUUGUUCGGAUUCAUUGGGCGUAAAGGGUGCGUAGGUGGCGCCGUAAGUCGGGUGUGAAAUUUCGGAGCUUAACUCCGAAACUGCAUUCGAUACUGCGGUGCUUGAGGACUGGAGAGGAGACUGGAAUUCAUGGUGUAGCAGUGAAAUGCGUAGAUAUCGGGAGGAACACCAGUGGCGAAGGCGGCUUUCUGGCCUGCUCUUGACGCUGAGGCGCGAAAGCUAGGGUAGCAAACGGG